AUUGAACGCUGGCGGAAUGCUUUACACAUGCAAGUCGAACGGCAGCACGGACUUCGGCCUGGUGGCGAGUGGCGAACGGGUGAGUAAUGUAUCGGAACGUGCCCAGUCGUGGGGGAUAACGUAGUGAAAAUUACGCUAAUACCGCAUACGAUCUAUGGAUGAAAGCGGGGGAUCGCAAGACCUCGCGCGAUUGGAGCGGCCGAUAUCAGAUUAGGUAGUUGGUGGGGUAAAGGCCCACCAAGCCAACGAUCUGUAGAUGGUCUGAGAGGACGACCAGCCACACUGGAACUGAGACACGGUCCAGACUCCUACGGGAGGCAGCAGUGGGGAAUUUUGGACAAUGUGCGAAAGCCUGAUCCAGCCAUUCCGCGUGCAGGAUGAAGGCCCUCGGGUUGUAAACUGCUUUUGUACAGAACGAAAAGGUUUCUACUAAUACUAGGAGCUCAUGACGGUACUGUAAGAAUAAGCACCGGCUAACUACGUGCCAGCAGCCGCAGUAA
rnacentral:rRNA from 1 species